AACAACGGCAGAGACAACAACAUCUGUUCCAACAACAACAGCUGCAGAAACAACAUCUGUUCCAACAACAAAUGCGGCAACCACACCACUUGCUGUAACAAUAACCCCUGCAUCAACAACAGUAACACAUGUGGCAACAACAACACCUGCUGCAACUGCAGUAACAACAACAGCUGUGACAGUAACACCUUCCACAACAACAACUCAGGCAACAACAACACCUGCUGUGACCACACCUACCAAUCUUGCAACUGCUGCACCAACAGCUGUGGCAUUCACAACAUUAAGGUUGACUUUCAGAUCUCUUCGAAACACAUUUACAAAUGACUUGCGGGAUUCAUCAUCGGCAGCUUUUAGAAAUCUAGCUUCAUUGAUAAAGACACAGCUUGAACCUCAGUUUCAAAUGGCAUUCCCUUCCUCGUUCAAGUCAUUGGACAUAGUGUCAUUCAGAAAUGGAUCGAUUAUCACCGACAUGAACCUCAUUUUUGAAAGCACAUCUGUGCCUAAUGACACAAAUAUCACAAGUACAUUGAUCGAUGCAGCAUCAAACGUCACCAGCUUCGACGUUGAGAGCAGCUCCAUCAAUGUAAAUGUCAUAGGUAAGUAUACAAAAUUGAGCGCUAAUGGAUCAAAAAUUCAAAGACUGUACAACUAUUUGUAAAAUAAAUGUUUUCUCAAAAACAGCAGCAACAACGACACCUAUUGUAAC